ACACCUAGCGAAGAUAUGGCAAACAAGUGAAAGCCGCCAAAAACUAGCGGAAUGCUCUCGAAACCAAUUCACUUGAGUGAGACAGAGGAGAGUGGAAUUUCGUGUGUAGGGGUGAAAUUCGGAGAUCUACGAAGGAACGCCAAAAGCGAAGGCAGCUCUCUGGGUCCCUACCGACGCUGAGGUGCGAAAGCAUGGGGAGCGAACAGGAUUAGAAUUGAGAAAAUAAUUCAAAAAAUCUUGGUAAACACUGGAUCUAAGUAGAGUUUUGGAAAAUGUUUUUCUUAAUUUUUGAAGAGAAUUCAUUUUCCUUAA
rnacentral:ncRNA from 1 species